UAAUACAGAGGGUGCGAGCGUUAAUCGGAAUUACUGGGCGUAAAGCGCGCGUAGGCGGCUUGUUAAGUCGGAUGUGAAAUCCCCGGGCUCAACCUGGGCAUUGCAUUCGAUACUGGCGAGCUAGAGUAUGGGAGAGGAAGGUAGAAUUCCAGGUGUAGCGGUGAAAUGCGUAGAGAUCUGGAGGAAUACCGAUGGCGAAGGCAGCCUUCUGGCCUAAUACUGACGCUGAGGUGCGAAAGCAUGGGGAGCAAACAGG
rnacentral:rRNA from 1 species